GUGGGUUCUCGGCGUCGGCAUCCCCGGUCCCUGGCUGGCCGGCUCCAAACUGCUCUCGCCGCCUCCCAUCUGCUCGUGCCGCAUCACCCCGAUCUAGUACGAGCAGCUCGCUGCCUCGACUUGCUGCUUCAUUGUUCCGGGCUAGCUGCUCUGCUCGUUCGCUCAUUGCCCGGUUCAUGGGAGAAGGACCAACCGCCAUGUGAUUGUGGGAGUUUAAGCGGCUGCGGAGGCGGAGGCGGAUUCGGAACCCCCCUCCUUGGUCGGCGUCGCCGGCUGGCUUGCCCACGGCCCUUCUAGCAUUCAUUCCACUGAACACAAAUGUUUGGGACAACAAAUGAGCUGAUGCAUACGAGCUGUUUGACGAAAUGCUCACUAGCUGCUCCUCUGUUUCUUGGUUUAAACGAAAUUCGCUGUGCUAAUCAAAAUCUUGCAGCUUCGUAGGAAGCCCAGCCAAGUUGGCACUUGCUAUAUGAUAUGAUCGCACAUCGCAAUUUCCAAUCCUUGACCGGUCUCGCCGGCUUGCUUGCCCUUGCCUGCCCACCGCACCGGUGGUUGCUGACUUCGUGAGACACAGGGAGAGCAGGAACGGAAAUGGUUGGAUACUAGCAUUCCGUUGGGUUUUUCCUUGAGACAACAACUCAGUGGAUGCAUGCGAGCUGUUCAACGAAAUGCUCAGGAGACAAGCCAAGUUGGCACUUGCUAUAUAAUGAUUCUACACCUAACUGAGGCCUUGCCAGUGCAAGUAGAUGAGGACAACCAUACUAUAUUAUGGUUGAAUAAAAUAAACGGACUUAACGACUUCAAGUGCAGCAAUGAUUGUCCUUUCCUGGCUAAUUUCGUACUAUGGA